GAUGAACGCUGACAGAAUGCUUAACACAUGCAAGUCAACUUGAACUUCGGUUUGGGUGGCGGACGGGUGAGUAACGCGUAAAGAACUUGCCUCACAGAUAGGGACAACAUUUGGAAACGAAUGCUAAUACCUGAUAUUAUGAUUUUAGGGCAUCCUAGAAUUAUGAAAGCUAUAUGCGCUGUGAGAGAGCUUUGCGUCCCAUUAGCUAGUUGGAGAGGUAACGGCUCACCAAGGCGAUGAUGGGUAGCCGGCCUGAGAGGGUGAUCGGCCACAAGGGGACUGAGACACGGCCCUUACUCCUACGGGAGGCAGCAGUGGGGAAUAUUGGACAAUGGACCAAGAGUCUGAUCCAGCAAUUCUGUGUGCACGAUGAAGUUUUUCGGAAUGUAAAGUGCUUUCAGUUGGGAAGAAAAAAAUGACG
rnacentral:rRNA from 1 species